UGCAGUCGAACGAGAAAGCGGGAGCAAUCUCGCAAGUACAGUGGCGUACGGGUGAGUAACACGUGGGUAAUCUACCCUUUAGUGAGGAAUAACGCUGGGAAACCGGCGCUAAUACCGCAUAAUCCCGAGAGGGGAAAGCAGCAAUGCGCUGAAGGAGGAGCCCGCGGCCGAUUAGCUAGUUGGUAGGGUAAAAGCCUACCAAGGCAAAGAUCGGUAGCCGGCCUGAGAGGGCACACGGCCACACUGGCACUGAAACACGGGCCAGACUCCUACGGGAGGCAGCAGUGGGGAAUCUUGCACAAUGGGGGCAACCCUGAUGCAGCGACGCCGCGUGAGCGAUGAAGCCCUUCGGGGUGUAAAGCUCUUUCGGCAGGGACGAUAAUGACGGUACCUGCAGAAGCAGCUGCGGCUAACUACGUGCCAGCAGCCGCGGUAAUACGUAGGCAGCGAGCGUUGUUCGGAGUUACUGGGCGUAAAGGGUGUGUAGGCGGUUACCUAAGUUUGGUGUGAAAUCUCCCGGCUUAACCGGGAGGGUGCGCCGAAAACUGGGCGACUAGAGUGCGGGAUGGGAGAGUAGAAUUCCUGGUGUAGCGGUGAAAUGCGUAGAUAUCAGGAGGAAUACCGGUGGUGUAGACGGCUCUCUGGACCGCAACUGACGCUGAGACACGAAAGCGUGGGUAGCAAACAGGAUUAGAUACCCUGGUAGUCCACGC
rnacentral:rRNA from 1 species